rnacentral:rRNA from 1 species
UACGGAGGGUGCAAGCGUUAUCCGGAUUCACUGGGUUUAAAGGGUGCGUAGGCGGGCAGGUAAGUCAGUGGUGAAAUCCCCGGGCUUAACUUGGGAACUGCCGUUGAUACUAUCUGUCUUGAAUAUCGUGGAGGUGAGCGGAAAAUGUCAUGUAGCGGUGAAAUGCUUAGAUAUGACAUAGAACACCCAUUGCGAAGGCAGCUCACUACACGAUAAUUGACGCUGAGGCACGAAAGCGUGGGGAGCAAACAGG